GGAGAUGCUGAAGGGCCACAAUUGAAUCCAGCUGCUCCCCAAGCCUGGCCACUGGAUUUCCUCACUCUCCAGUGCCCUGCUUGAUGUCACGUUGCCCUCAGCUGUCAUCAGCUCAUUGAACUUCCUUCUGCUGCAUCUUCCUGUACUGCAGAAGCAAGAAAGAUUUUUUUUUUUAAGAGUCACUUCUCUAAUUCUUUCAUACGUGAGCUAUCUGGGAUGCGAUUCUUCUCCUCUGAGAUCUGAAUGGUGGUGAGGCGGAGGCAGGCUUCCUGCUGCCUCAGGUUUUCUUCUGGAAACAUCCUUUUUUUUUUUUUUUUUGAUAAUUGCAUUGCCAUCACCAGUUGCCAACUUUGUGCAGGGUGUAGGAGUCUUUGCAGGGGUGAAGGCUUCCUGUUUCCAGGAUCUUGGCACAUGCUGUGUCAGGGUCUGCACUUCCCUGAUGGAGGUAGGGGCACCUGCUUCCUGGGUGGGCCAGUUCCGCUGUGUUUUUCCUGGAGAGCCAGCCCAAAGACUGCCCUUUGUGAAUUUCUCGUGGUUUUUGUAGGCACCCAAUACCGUCUAGUAAUUUCUUUCUUUUCUUUUUUUUUAAGUUGAGUGGCUCUUUGUUUCUGCAGUUGAACCUGAUGAUUUCAAUCAUGCUUGUAAUGUUGACAGCACUGAGUUCAUCUUCCAGAUGAGAAAACUGAGGCCCAUAGUCUUUCAGUAUCUCGCUUGAGGUCACACUAAUUGGUCAGUAUUAGUGUCAGAACCACCAUAUGGACCCAGAUCUUCUGCUCCCAACCCUGUGUCUUCCAUGUCAUCCCAGGAGGGUGUGCUUUUUAAGCUGGAGUGAGCGUGUGCUCUGAAGCCAUAUCUGACUUGCAAAUCACAAACCAUGUUCCACUUUUGUACUGAAUUCAUCUGAGCCUGAUUCGUGUUUGUUUCCAUUGCCAUGAUUAAAAAAGACUAAUGAUUCUGGAAAAUAAUGAGUCUCCCAUCAGAGCAUGUGGCUGUGAUUGGCAGUAGCUCCCCAGUGACUGCAGGUGGGUCCCCUGUGCUCCUGCCCCUUGUCCCCAGCUCAGAGCAUGAGGGUAGGACAAGACAGAAGAACGGGAUUCACCACUUAUCAGGCACCCAUUAGGUCCCAGGUGCUUGGCCCCGGGGUGAGUCACAAGAUCCUUGCCCGUCCCUGUAUCCAAAGACCUCAUUCUUUAAGAUCACAGCUGAUAAGCAGUGGCAUGGGGUGGCCAUUGUUCUGACCUGCUCAGCCUCCUGUCUUCCCUCUGCUGGCAAGCGGGCAAGAGCAUCCUUGUUUUCCUUGCCUGGGGGUUGGGGGGAUGGGAGCCCUCUGUCUCCACCCUCAACCCAUGCAAGGUUGGGAUGGCACUGACUCUUUCUCAUCGCCCCCGCCAGGGGAAGAGCCUGACUCAAGUCUGGAAAGUACCACAUUCCAUCCCUGGAUUACAAGGACUCAGGCAGAGGUUAGCCUGUGGUCCAAACGAGCCAAAGGAGACUUGGUACUGCCAGCUCUCUUGAACUAUUGGGAAAGAGAAGGUGGUUCUUUUUGGUUGGAAUUAAAGAUGCAAGUGUGAAUCUGCUGGGUUUACCACAGGCAGACAACCUGUCAAAGGGUGACACCUGGGAGGGGCCAUGGGGAGGCAGAGCCAAAAGAGAGAGAGAGAGAGGACAGAGAUUCUCCAUGACAUCAUGGGGAUGGAUCCAGCCCUACCUGAAACCAUCCCCUCCCACCAUAGGUUUCUCAGUCAUGCAAGACAGUGAACUCCUCGAUUUGCCUAACCCAGUUCAGGUUGGCUUCUUAGUUACUUGCACUUCACUGUAUCCUGACUGCCACACAGAUCUUUUUUCCAGGGAUGGUCCAUGUUCUUUACACCAAACCAACCUGCCCUCCAACCCGCACCCCCACCACAGAUAGGUUAAGAUGUACUGGUCUAAACUACAAACUACUGAAUUUCUCCAGGAUUGCCAGCCUGAGUGCUCAUGUGAUGAAUACUCAAGAUCCGAUCUGUCUUUGCAUUCUCCAAAUUAAUUAAGGAUUGGCCUCAGAUGCCACCUACCAAACUGUCCUGAAGUCAGUGUCCCCCUCUUAGGAUUCUUGAUCUGCUUCCCUGGAUUGUCUGUGAGCCAUAAAACACAGCAUCCUGGAAGAGGGGGACUGCUGAACUGAGUUUUGAAGAGUGAGUUUGCUUUAUUAUAUCAAAGAGCAGGAGGAGCGCCCUCCAGAGACCCAACCACCUGUGUGCAGGUGGAUAUGAAUGAGAGCAGAGUGAAGGCUUGCAGUUUUGUGAUGGGUUGCAAGGAGCUCUACCAAUGUUUUUUUUUAAAGACUUGCCAUUAAAAUAUCAUAUAUAGGGAGUUCCCAUUGUGGCUCAGUGGGUUAAGAACCCACUGUUGUCUCUGUGAGGAUGUAGGUUCGAUCCCUGGCCACGCGUAGUGGAUUCAGGGUCCUGUGUUGUGGCAAGCUGCAGCCUAGGUUGAAGAUGCGGCUUGAGUGCAGUGUUGCCGUGGCUGUGGCAUAGGCCUCAGCUGCAACACCAGCUCUACCCUUAGCCCAGGAACUUCCACAUGCUGCAGGUGUGGCUGUAAAAACAAAGUCAUGCAUAAAAAAGUGUGCAUAUACAUGCACACCUGGGUGAAUUUUCACAGAACACAGCCAUGUCACCUGCCUGUGGGUCCAGAAGGCAAUCAGAGCCUGGGAAGCUUCACAUCUUUUUCUGUCACUAUGCCUUCCAGGGGGAAGGUCUGUCCUGAAUUCUCCCAUCCACACCCUCAGCUUGUUUUGCCUGCUUUCAAUGAGUGAAAAUGGAACCAGAUUUGUCUUCUCUUGUCACUGGCUUGUUCUUUGACAUUGUAUGUGCAUCCUUAUCCCUGCAUGUGGUUAUAUGCUGUUUAUGCUCAGUGCUGUAGGGCAGCGUUCAGCAGGCUGCUUCUGUAAAGGACUAGAUGGUAAAUAUGGGAGGCUUCUCAGGCCGUCUGAUCUCUGUCACAACUACUCAGCUCUGCUGGUAUUGUGCGAAAGCAGCUAUAGACAAUGUUGAAAUGGACAAGCGCCCUAAUAAAACGCUAUUUACAAAAUUAGGCAACCUGGAUUAAAAACGCAAGUCCGUAGUUUCCCAACCCCUGCUGUAGAAUAUUUCAUUGUGUGAAGAUAGCACAAUUUCUUCACUUAUUCAAUUGCUGAGUUCUGAAGUAGGUUUUCGAGACUGUUUAGGAAGAGUGUUGCUAUGAACACUCUUGUACAAAUGUUUUGUGAACACAUGUUCUCAUUUCUGCUGGGUAUCUUUCAAGGAGUGGAAUUAGGGGGUCAAAAGCUAUGCAUAUGUUCAGAUUUAUUUAUAUUUUUUGCUUUUGAGGGCCACAGGUGCAGCAUAGGGAAGUUCCCAGGCUCGGAGUCAAAACAUAGCUGUAGCUGCCAGUCUACACCACAGCCACAGCCACACCAGAUCCAAGCUGCAACUGCGACCUACACAGCCGCUCUUGGCAACGGCGGAUCCUUAACCCACCGAGCGAGACCAGGGAUCAAACCCGCAUCCUCCUGGAUACUAGUCGGGUUUGUUUCCGCUGAGACACAACAGGAACUCCCACAUGUUCAGUGUUAGAAGCUACUGGCUCAGUAGUUUCACAAAGUGAUUGGACCAAUUUAUUCUCCUCUAACUACAAGCAACCUGCGCGGGCAUCCCAGUUACUUCCUUUCUUUGCUAACGCUUGGCAAUUUCACAUCAGUUUCAGGUGGGUGUGUAAGGGAUCCCUUUAUGGUUUCAACUUGCAUUUCCCGGAUCAGUAAUGCAGCUCAGCGCCUUUUCAGACGUUUAUAGCCGUUUGGGAUAGCUUCUUUGUGAAGCGCCUCUUCCGAUAACAUCUUAUGCCUUUUAUUUGCAUAAAUUACCUUCUGCCUCAACGAUAAAUCUGGCAGUCUCCUUCGGAGAAUAUGGCUACUCCUUCUUAACGCAGACGUCUUCAGGAGCCUAUGUUAUGCAUAUGUUACUAAUUUGUCUUUAAUUUCAGAAUCUAUUGUGAGAUGUUUGCCCUCUAAGCAUCUGUUACAGGUUCUUUUCCCUUGAGAAAUGCUGGUCGUCUGCUUUGCAUGUGUAGGUUCUUUUCCAGUUCUUCUCCCUCUAAUACACGAGAGCUGCCAAAAAGUUAUUUUCGCCACUUUAUCUAUCACAUUUAAACAAAACGAAACAAAAUGAUCUUUAAUUCAACCUUCAUGGGCUCUUUGAUUUCGAUCCCUCUCCCUAUUUCCCAAAUCCAUCCUUCUCUCCUCCUGGUAGGUCUCUCCUUUCCCACGGGAACACCCAGCAUCCCCUCCUCACCUGAUCUCCCUUAUUGAUAAUUUCAAUCAAUUAAGAAAAAGCCCAGCAGCCCAUCAGACAAGACUCCUUCCAGAGAGCGAAGGCACAUCCGAUCGAAUUUUCUUUGGAAUUUAAGACGAAAGAGGCUGUGAAUACGCUCAUGACUGCAUGUCUUUGUCCUGCUACUCAUAGGCUCUGGGCUCAUGCCAAUAAGUACCUUUCUUUAAAACGGAAAGCAACUUACUUUUCGAGAAGGGUCUCUCAUUUGAGUCUUGCAAGUUAGACAUCGAGCCCAUGGCUACGGUGUGAACUUGUACUCAAGGCUUCCACUUUCUGAGCCUUUUUGAGCCUUUCUGGACUAACCACGGGCAGGUAUUAUGCGUGUCAGGUGUCCCUAAGGAACUCCCGCCCCAAGGUUUGAUGAUUUGCUAAGAGGACUCAGCAUUUAGUUGAACUCAUGGCUGUGGCUUAUUAUGAAAAAGGAUACAGAGCGAAGUCCACAAAGGGAAGGGCCCUCGGGGCAAAGUCCAGGGGAAACCAGGCUUAAGCAUGCAGAGUCCUCUCCCAGUGGAGUCACAAGACAGGCACAGUUUCUCCAGCAACAGGUUGUGACCAUGCACCUGCAAUGUUACCCACCAGGGAGGCUCAUUAGAGCCCAGGGUCUUCAUGGGGGCUGGUCACAUCCGCACUCUGCCUGGCACGCAACAAAUUUCCCAGAAACGACACAAGUGUUCAGCAGAAACCGCAUUGGUUGUGCAAAUAGUUUAGCUACUCUUAUCAGGAAACGAUGGGAACCUUCCCGAAGUCCACCUUCCCAGAUGCCGGCCAAGAGCCAACCUUGUAAGGAGACCUUUCCAAGGAUAGCAGCCAGCCUGCUGUGGUAACUGGGCUUUGCAGAGGGAGGCAGUUAAAUUUCAUGAACCCUCCCAGUAACCCUACAAAGCUGCACAAACAUUAUUCCCGUUUGAAGGAGAAGAAACUAAGGCUUGGAGAGGGUUCUUGACUAAGAUCUAAUAAAUGUCAAAACCUGGACGUGGGAGUUCCCUUCCUGGCUCGGCAGUUAACGAAUCUGACUAGGAACCAUGAGGUUGUGGGUUCGAUCCCUGGCCUCACUCAGUGGGUUAAGGAUCCGGCAUUGCCAUGAGCUGUGGUGUAGGUUGCAGACAUGGCUCAGAUGCUGAGUUGCUGCGGCUGUGGUGUAGGCCAGUAGCUACAGCUCCUAUUGGAGCCCCUAACCUCCAUAUGC
rnacentral:lncRNA from 1 species